rnacentral:misc_RNA from 1 species
GUAGGUGAACCUGCGGAAGGAUCAUUAUCACGUAUCCACGUAUAAACCAUUGUGAACCGUUUUUAACCUCUGCGAAACUGAUUGCCAUGAAUGUAAAAGUUUGUGAUAGUCGGCUAGCAGAGCGUAUUUAACCUAUUAACCAUUUUAACCAAUCUUUAUAACUUUAUGAACUAACUUUAUUUUAUACUCUUCGGAGAUAAAAUUCAUUACGAAACAAAGAACAACUCUUAGCAACGGAUAUCUUGGUUCUC